rnacentral:rRNA from 1 species
UACAGAGGUCCCGAGCGUUGUUCGGAUUUAUUGGGCGUAAAGGGUGCGUAGGCGGCGGAGUAAGUUGGGUGUGAAAUCCCGGGGCUUAACCUCGGAAUUGCAUUCAAUACUGCUUCGCUCGAGUACUGGAGAGGAGGCUGGAAUUUACGGUGUAGCAGUGAAAUGCGUAGAUAUCGUAAGGAAGACCAGUGGCGAAGGCGGGUCUCUGGACAGUUCCUGACGCUGAGGCACGAAGGCCAGGGGAGCAAACGGG